CACGUAGGGCGCAAGCGUUGUCCGGAAUUAUUGGGCGUAAAGAGCUCGUAGGCGGUCUGUUGCGUCUGCUGUGAAAACCCGGGGCUUAACCCCUGGCUUGCAGUGGAUACGGACAGACUAGAGGUAGGUAGGGGAGAAUGGAAUUCCCGGUGUAGCGGUGAAAUGCGCAGAUAUCGGGAGGAACACCGGUGGCGAAGGCGGUUCUCUGGGCAGUAACUGACGCUGAGGAGCGAAAGCGUGGGGAGCGAACAGG
rnacentral:rRNA from 1 species